rnacentral:rRNA from 1 species
CCUACGGGUGGCAGCAGUGAGGAAUAUUGGUCAAUAGGCGCGAGCCUGAACCAGCCAAGUAGCGUGAAGGAUGCCUGCCCUACGGGUUGUAAACUUCUUUUAUAAAGGAAUAAAGUGAGGCACGUGUGCCUUUUUGUAUGUUCUUUAUGAAUAAGGCUCGGCUAACUCCGUGCCAGCAGCCGCGGUAAUACGGAGGAUCCGAGCGUGAUCCGGAUUUAUUGGGUUUAAAGGGAGCGUAGAUGGGUUGUUAAGUCAGUUGUGAAAGUUUGCGGCUCAACCGUAAAAUUGCAAUUGAUACUGGCAGCCUUGAGUACAGUUGAGGUAUGCGGAAUGCGUGGUGUAGCGGUGAAAUGCUUAGAUAUCACGAAGAACUCCGAUUGCGAAGGCAGCUUACUAAACUGCCACUGACAUUGAUGCUCGAAAGUGUGGGUAUCAAACAGGAUUAGAUACCCGUGUAGUC